UACGUAGGGUGCGAGCGUUGUCCGGAAUUACUGGGCGUAAAGAGCUCGUAGGCGGUCUGUCGCGUCGGCUGUGAAAACCCGGAGCUCAACUCCGGGCCUGCAGUCGAUACGGGCAGACUGGAGUUCGGCAGGGGAGACUGGAAUUCCUGGUGUAGCGGUGAAAUGCGCAGAUAUCAGGAGGAACACCGGUGGCGAAGGCGGGUCUCUGGGCCGAUACUGAUGCUGAGGAGCGAAAGCGUGGGGAGCGAACAGG
rnacentral:rRNA from 1 species